CAGCCGCCGCGGGAAUACAGAGGGUGCAAGCGUUAAUCGGAAUUACUGGGCGUAAAGCGCGCGUAGGUGGUUUGUUAAGUUGGAUGUGAAAGCCCCAGGCUCAACCUGGGAACUGCAUCCAAAACUGGCAAGCUAGAGUACGGUAGAGGGUGGUGGAAUUUCCUGUGUAGCGGUGAAAUGCGUAGAUAUAGGAAGGAACACCAGUGGCGAAGGCGACCACCUGGACUGAUACUGACACUGAGGUGCGAAAGCGUGGGGAGCAAACAGGAUUAGAUACCCCGGUAGUCCCUGUCUCUUAUAC
rnacentral:rRNA from 1 species